GUGUGAGAAGGUUUGUAAAUUCAGAAAAAUUCUCAAGACAAAGGUAUGCAGGAAUUGUGCUCGAGCAGAAAUAGCGACGGCUUCUGGCCUGGGACUGCAUUUCUACACCUCUCGGGCUUUUCCUGACCUUCGAUUGAUUGAUUGAUUGAUUGAUUGAUUGAUUGAUUGAUUGAUUCACAGACUGUUGCAGCCGCCCUGAUGGCAGCUAUGCAGCGUACGACGUUAAAAACAGGUGUCGCUACCCUCCCCUUUGGAAAUUCAGUUAUCCUUGCGAGAAACUCCCAGUUGGCAGUCCGGUUUAUUUCUGCAACAAUCACAUCCUUCCACUAAAGCUUUCUUUAUCCAUAGUCUUCCUAUCUGUAUCUCACAAGCUUUUGACCCAAUGAACCCUCAACAAAUCACAAUUUUCCUUAACUUUUAUCUCUUCAUUCUGAGUGCAUAUGCAAUAGUUUAAUGGAGCCUGUGAUUUCCUUCUCAUUCAAAGAAUGGUUAAUUUACAACACUGACUUCAGCAGUAUUACACAAGAAUAAACGACAUUUAAUAAAAGUCCAAGAGAUGAAGGACCAAGGAGUGAGGACCCGACCCAUGGAGUAUAAAAGGGGAAGAAAAGAAGAGCAACAAACAUUCACAAGUUUUCAAUAAAGAAGAAGAAUAAAAUCCUUAUUGUAUCCUCACACCCAACAGUACCUCUCUUCACACAAUACAGCGUAAGUCCACCCGCUCAAAUCCUGAAUCUCUCCACCUCUGAAAUAGUCUAACCUAGAUGGCCGACCCCUGGCGGUGCAACCCGAAAUGACCUUGACCAUCAUAUCGGCACAGAAUUUGGCAUUGAGUUUGCCAGAUCUGUUAUGAGUGUUGACGACGCCGACUUUGACCGGAACAAAAGGUAUGGGAAAGGUUUUGAACACGUUCCUGAACCAGUAUUUUUUUCCAAUGUCUCCCGACCGCGAAAAUUUAUAGCCAUUGUACUCAUAGCAAAAUUUCCCCGCAACAUCGUAUAUGUUCUUUUCCUUAAGAUCAUGGUUCUUGCCAACUUCACGGAUGGGAGUUAGCCCAUCAGCUGCCCACUUUUCCGUACGGGAGUCAUAGCAUCGCAACUUGGUUGCACCGCGGGCAACGAGGUCGUGCUCGGUUGUAUUGACUGAGGGAAUGAGUUCAUCGACAUCGAUUUCUGCUUUUGGCAGAGGCCUGGAGACUGAAAUGUUAGAUGGAAGAAGUAAAAAAAUAAAGUGUAAAAGAGAAGGAUGGCACAUACCCGGGCAACGCAUGGGUGCUGAUAAGCAUCCCAGCAAGGGUGACCAGAGUGAGAGAUAGGAACUAGAGAGAAAUGGUCAGCUCUGAGCUAUGGAAAGUUAUAUCAAAUAUAUAUAUAUAUAUAUAUAUAUAUAUUUCAAUUUCCAUUGUUCACAUACCUUCAUUGUAACGCUCAAUUAUUACAAGCUUAAAGGAAUGAAUGAAUGUCUGACUAGAUCACUUGGUGGGAAAGGAGAGAUCAACCACUGCAAGUUUCAAAAGUUGAAGAUAUUUUGACCAAAAGAAUGAGGGCUGAACAAAUUGAGG
rnacentral:sRNA from 1 species